UCAACUUGUUUUGAUUGAAUGUGCAAGGUAUUGCGACGCGAAUAGUUCUGUAAUGAUGCGUUCGACGAAAACUUCUCCAGCUCCAACCACAAUCGACGCACUUCCCAACGAGAUAUUGUGCAGGAUUUUUCAAAAUCUAUUCUUUCGAGAUCGCAAGAAUGCAUCGCGAGUUUGUCACCGAUGGAACGAAAUUGCAAUGGAUCCCAGUGAUAUCGUAUUUCAUGUGCGGCUUUACGAUACCAAGAAUACUUACACUAUCAGUGAGAUCAUGAACUGCAAACGGCCUUACAAAUUCCUUCGGGUUUCGUACAAUAUGUUUCCAUCACGAAUAUUGAAUAAAUUCUCUAUUUUCGCGGAAACUUUGAGGAUUUCUUCCAUGAACGCAUACAUGGCAUCGGAAGAACCAAAUUUCUUGGGACAACUGUAUAGAUUGAAAAAUCUUAAGAGUGCGACUUCGAUGUCCCGCUAAGUUUUUCGAACCUGCCAGCUUUAGAACAACUGGUGAUUGAAUGUGGGACCCCAUUCGACUGCACCGUGCUGAAAGACCUCGGAUCGCUUCGGAACCUUCGCGCUUUUAAACUUUGCUGCUCGCAGCUCGACGGGAUCGAGCAGAACUUCCAGCUGCAUCACAUUACGAAACUUGAUCUGACAGUUCGUGCGGAUGACUGUCAUCUGGUGCGAUUGGCGGAGAUAUUUCCAUCGCUGACCAGUUUGAAUGUGGCGGCUCGGGAAUAGAGCGUCCAAUUUCCCGUCCCGGGAAAAAAAUUCCCGGGAAUU
rnacentral:misc_RNA from 1 species